rnacentral:rRNA from 1 species
GGCGGGGGCACGGGGGGAACGCGAAGAACCUUACCUACUCUUGACAUCCAGAGAACUUUCCAGAGAUGGAUUGGUGCCUUCGGGAACUCUGAGACAGGUGCUGCAUGGCUGUCGUCAGCUCGUGUUGUGAAAUGUUGGGUUAAGUCCCGCAACGAGCGCAACCCUUAUCCUUUGUUGCCAGCGGUUCGGCCGGGAACUCAAAGGAGACUGCCAGUGAUAAACUGGAGGAAGGUGGGGAUGACGUCAAGUCAUCAUGGCCCUUACGAGUAGGGCUACACACGUGCUACAAUGGCAUAUACAAAGAGAAGCGACCUCGCGAGAGCAAGCGGACCUCAUAAAGUAUGUCGUAGUCCGGAUUGGAGUCUGCAACUCGACUCCAUGAAGUCGGAAUCGCUAGUAAUCGUAGAUCAGAAUGCUACGGUGAAUACGUUCCCGG